rnacentral:rRNA from 1 species
AUUGAACGCUGGCGGCAGGCCUAACACAUGCAAGUCGAGCGAGCGGCGGAGGGGGGAGUAAAGUGUGGGAAACUGUCUGUGGGGGGGGGAUAACAACUGGAAAAGGGAUCGAAAACCGCGUACCCUCAGAUGUGCCCAGAUGGGAUUAGCUAGUAGGUGGGGUAAUGGCUCACAUCGGCGACGAUCCCUAGCUGGUCUGAGAGGAUGACCAGCCACACUGGAACUUAGACACGGUCCAGACUCCUACGGGAGGCAGCAGUGGGGAAUAUUGCACAAUGGGCGCAAGCCUGAUGCAGCCAUGCCGCGUGUGUGAAGAAGGCCUUCGGGUUGUAAAGCACUUUCAGCGGGGAGGCGUUACCCGCAGAAGAAGCACCGGCUAACUCCGUGCCAGCAGCCGCGGUAAUAC